UGGAUCCAGACUUUGAUCCUGGCUCAGGAUGAACGCUAGCUACAGGCUUAACACAUGCAAGUCGAGGGGCAGCAUGAACUUAGCUUGCUAAGUUUGAUGGCGACCGGCGCACGGGUGAGUAACACGUAUCCAGCCUGCCGAUGACUCGGGGAUAGCCUUUCGAAAGAAAGAUUAAUACCCGAUGGCAUAGUUCUUCCGCAUGGUAGAACUAUUAAAGAAUUUCGGUCAUCGAUGGGGAUGCGUUCCAUUAGGUUGUUGGCGGGGUAACGGCCCACCAAGCCUUCGAUGGAUAGGGGUUCUGAGAGGAAGGUCCCCCACAUUGGAACUGAGACACGGUCCAAACUCCUACGGGAGGCAGCAGUGAGGAAUAUUGGUCAAUGGACGAGAGUCUGAACCAGCCAAGUAGCGUGAAGGAUGACUGCCCUAUGGGUUGUAAACUUCUUUUAUACGGGAAUAAAGUGAGGCACGUGUGCCUUUUUGUAUGUACCGUAUGAAUAAGGAUCGGCUAACUCCGUGCCAGCAGCCGCGGUAAUACGGAGGAUCCGAGCGUUAUCCGGAUUUAUUGGGUUUAAAGGGAGCGUAGGCGGACGCUUAAGUCAGUUGUGAAAGUUUGCGGCUCAACCGUAAAAUUGCAGUUGAUACUGGGUGUCUUGAGUACAGUAGAGGCAGGCGGAAUUCGUGGUGUAGCGGUGAAAUGCUUAGAUAUCACGAAGAACUCCGAUUGCGAAGGCAGCCUGCUGGACUGUAACUGACGCUGAUGCUCGAAAGUGUGGGUAUCAAACAGGAUUAGAUACCCUGGUAGUCCACACAGUAAACGAUGAAUACUCGCUGUUUGCGAUAUACAGUAAGCGGCCAAGCGAAAGCGUUAAGUAUUCCACCUGGGGAGUACGCCGGCAACGGUGCAACUCAAAGGAAUUGACGG
rnacentral:rRNA from 1 species